GAUGGCACCGGCUCCGCUCGCCCUUCACUUCCCUCAGGGCCGGCGCUACCGGCAGCUCGGGGAUCGCCGCGGCACCGGCCGCCGGGCCUCGGCCAAGGGGUCUCUGCUGGAGGCCGGCGUCGCGCUGGACUUUGCCACCAUGGCUGGUAGCGGGCCGGCACCAAGCGCCCGUCUGCAAGGGCGAACGCUCCAGCCUGGUAGAUUUGGUCUGUCUGGCGCCGGUGGAGCCUUGGGGAGUGCCCUCACCCGCUUCGUCCUCAGGGACACGGAGCUCGACGCCAUCCCCCAGCUGCUCAGGAGAGGCGAGUGUGCUGAAGGCCACCCUGCAGCAGCCCUGCGCCAGCUCCCCCGCUCCCGCCUGCAGAGGGUCCAGCUGUGCCGGUGAACAACGAGGGCGAGACAGACCCCCCUCUUCUGGAGGACGCCACCGAGGAGACUGUCAAGCCAGAGAUACUGGGCGGGAUUCGGAUGUGCUGGCAGCCAGCCCCUGCCACAGCACUGCCGGGAAGGCUUCUCCCCAUCGAAGAGGGCUUGGUGGCAACGGCCACGGCAAAGCUCUCCCAGCAGCAGCUCCUGUGACCACCUUGGUGUGAGCACUGGAGCUCUUCAGCCCAACCCACGUCUCCGAGAAGACCCUGCUGCACUUCCUGAGCCGUCCUGGCGUCAUGCAGGAGCUGGAGUUCCACGAGAACAACCGCUUCACCCCUGAGGAAGCUACCUGUACCGCCGCCACCACCCCCUCGGCCACUUCACCCCCAUCCUGCAGGUACAGCGCCGGGGCCGAUCAGCCCUGUGCGUGUCCCCUCCGGGGUCCUGCUGCCACGUCCCCGCCUGUCAGGGCGCGUUGAGGGGCAGCUCUGCUGGGGGGAGCCCCCGCCUCACCCGGCUUUUUGGGAGCGCUGUGCCCCGUGCCGAGCCACCCUCGGCUCUCCCGCCAUCCCCGGUGCCCCUGACCCACUCUCCGCGCAGGUGACGUGACCGAGCUCGGUGGCUGGGCUGUGUCCUCUGCCACCGGGGACAACAAACCAUCCCACGGGCAACCGGAGAGCUGAAACACCGCUGCCUCCUCGGGAGCCAAUGGCUGCGGUGCAAGCCCCUGUUUCCUGCUUCAACCAAACGUUAUUUCCCACCUUUUUAGUGGGGUUUUUGAGGAAAUAAAAGCCAGUGGAGGGUGUGCGCCUCCCUCCUGGCAACCAAAAAAACGGUUGCGUGGCCCCCCCGUGCUGCUGAGAGGUGACCCCCAGCACCGGGGACAGAGAGGCGGAGA